rnacentral:misc_RNA from 1 species
UGGGGGAAGAUUGAGAAUGUCAAGGCAAAUUCGGCCUCCGUUGUCGAUGUUCGGGUGGUAGAUCGGCGUAGCAAAUGUCACACUAGGAGGCUGAAAUGGGUACCUUUCCGGUAUUUGAAUCUUAAUGUUAAAGAUCCCUUUAGCGUAUACAGUUCCCUGCGGUCCUUCAAUCUGAGCGUCAAUGGUCGACAGGGAGGAUAUGUCAGAGUCGGCAGAAAGAAAGGGAAACGACGCACCAGGAGAUGGGUCAGUGAGUAGAAGCUUGAGCUCCUUUUGCAUUCGAAGAUUGAGCCUUGCCGC